rnacentral:lncRNA from 1 species
CUAUAUAGCCGAAUAUGCAAUGCUGUUACUGUCAAGUUUCGGAUGCCUUCCAUGCCUACAGAGAGCUACAAGCUACACCUGCAGCAAUGGCGAAAUUGUAUGCUAAUUAAGCUUCUCUCAGCUAGCAGUUACCUCUACGGUGUAUGUGUGUACUUUGUGUAGUGAUGCUUGAUUUGAGCAAGGAAGGUGGCAAAGCAAAAAUGGAGCUUGCUGGAGUCUCAUGGAGUGUUCUACUUCUACUUCUACGGUGGAAUGUAUUUCUCUCAUAUCAUGCAUGUGCUUAUCACAUAU